CCUACGGGCGGCAGCAGUGAGGAAUAUUGGUCAAUGGGCGCGAGCCUGAACCAGCCAAGUCGCGUGAGGGAAGACGGUCCUAUGGAUUGUAAACCUCUUUUGUCGGGGAGCAAAAGACGCCACGCGUGGCGUUCCGAGAGUACCCGAAGAAAAAGCAUCGGUUAACUCCGUGCCAGCAGCCGCGGUAAUCCGGAGGAUGCGAGCGUUAACCGGAUUUAUUGGGUUUAAAGGGUGGGCAGGCGGAAGAUCAAGUCAGCGGUAAAAUUGAGGGGCUCAACCUCUUCGAGCCGUUGCAACUGGUGUUCUUGAGUGAGUGAGAAGUAUGCGGGAUGCGUGGUGUAGGGGUGGAAUGCA
rnacentral:rRNA from 1 species